GCGGUUUGUUAGUUACAUUUGUUCAUUUAACUUGUAUUUUACGUGCUACACACAAUAUUGUCAAAGAAAACUAAGAAAAAAAAACCUUUAAAAAUAACGCUAAAGAAGAAAUAAUAAUAUUUAAAUAAAUUUCUACAACGGAAAAUACUGAAAGUACCAGCAUAAAAUUUACAUUGACAUUGUACACUUUUCACGGUUCUUUGGGGAAAAACAAGCUGUAGUUGUAGUAUUUUUAUAAAAGUAUGAUAGAAAACCUAAUUUCUUCGGAAGAUGACGAGAUUCCGUUUAUUUUGGUAUUCUAAAACGAAAAUGUAGCCAGGUGAUUGUUUGGAAGCAUCAAAUGUUCACUUUCUUCAGUGAGUAACACAAUAUUCUGACUUAAACUUUAUUUAAAACCAUUGGAUCAUUAUAGAUCGGUUCGUCUAAAGAGACAAUGAACUUAUUAGGCACAAUAUCUUUGAUUAUAUAAAUUGUACAUGGAACAACAAUGGAAAAGAAUGGAAUUUUGUCACUGAAAACAGUGUUUUCAAACUAUAGUCCCGCGAUAGAUUUCUUAAGAAAAAGAACGGGAGAAAACUAGAGAGAAAAGUAAUAAACUUUUGAAAACUAUUUACCAAAGUGAACUAAAAUAAAGAAGGUUUCAUAACGAACGACAGUUUUUUUUAAUUUGAAAUCAUUCCUAAUGAAACCCCCUUUAAUAUGGGCCAUUCACAGGGUGUAAGAGACAUUUAUAAAAUGGUUUCAAAUUGUAAGCAAAUGUUCACUUGUUAAGUAAUACACCCCUUUAAAACUAGUCACGGUAUCACUAUUUUUUGUACAAUUGUCCAAAGUAAGAACUACAGUUGUCUACAGUACACAAAUUCCAAUGCUGAUACGCACAAUACAAUAAAAAAUCCUUAAAAGGCAAUGACGACUUGUCUGUAUUAUUCGCACUUGUCGUUUGUUGUAUCAUAGACAAUAUUGGUUAAUGACUUAAUAACGUUUUAGUAUGUUCGGGCUAUGAAUACACAUACUAAUUAGAUUAAAUAUGUAUGUAUUUUGAAAACAAGUGACUUGGAUCAUAAAUUUUUAUUCAUUUCAAGUCGAUAUUUAUUUGGUGGAAUUCACGCAAGUUUUCAAUCAAUGGCUCUAAGUGGAAAGUAAUAAGAAAUAUUUUUUUGUUAAUUAGUUUAAGUACCUAAUAAUAUUUAGUUUAAAUUGUCCUGCUUAAUAGAUAAGAAGUUUUUGGAGAUUUUGUAUUUUAUUCAACAUUAUUAAAACAAGCUAUUUUACAAAAAAAACUGGUGUAUGUAUUUUGAAAUCUAAUUUUCUUUCGCUAAGUGGUGAAAUUGUCGCGUUUUGUUAACUCAUAUCAAACGGUCUUUCUUAAUUUCAAUAUCAAUU